rnacentral:rRNA from 1 species
AACGAACGCUGGCGGCGCGUCUUAAGCAUGCAAGUCGAGCGGCAAGGUAGCAAUACCCUAGAGCGGCGGACUGGUGAGUAACACGUGGGUGACCCACCCUUAGGUUGGGGAUAGCCAUUAGAAAUAGUGGGUAAUACCGAAUGUGGUUGCGUGUCUAAGGACACGUAAAGAAAGGAGCUACGGCUCCGCCUGAGGAUGGGCCCGCGCCCCAUUAGCUAGUUGGCGGUGUAACGGACCACCAAGGCGAUGA